CUCAGGUUGUUGAUCUCCUCUCUUGCAUGGGCAACUACAUCACUCUGCAUGAUGAAUUGAUGAUGGAGGUGGUGGCUGACAAAAAUUUCAUAUGCUGAUGAUACACGAAACUGCGGAAGGCUUGUGGCUUUGGAAGAGAGUGGUAGGCUAUUGUUUGCUGUGCACAGAAAUGGGUGGUGGCUGGUGUGCCUGGGUGAGGGUGAAGCGGGGGUUGUAGUCUGGGUGAUGGUGAUAUAUCUGGAUUAUGAUGAUGAUGAGGCUCACAGGAUGGAGCAUGGCAGUGCUAGUACCCUCUCCUGGACUCUAAUCUGGAGUGGUUUUUGUAUAUGAAGCAAUACUAGCAGGGAAUUCGCCUGUUUUUGUAUAUUGUUAAAUACUUUA